UUGCUUCUCUUGAGAGCGGCGGACGGGUGAGUAAUGCCUAGGAAUCUGCCUGGUAGUGGGGGAUAACGUCCGGAAACGGACGCUAAUACCGCAUACGUCCUACGGGAGAAAGCAGGGGACCUUCGGGCCUUGCGCUAUCAGAUGAGCCUAGGUCGGAUUAGCUAGUUGGUGGGGUAAUGGCUCACCAAGGCGACGAUCCGUAACUGGUCUGAGAGGAUGAUCAGUCACACUGGAACUGAGACACGGUCCAGACUCCUACGGGAGGCAGCAGUGGGGAAUAUUGGACAAUGGGCGAAAGCCUGAUCCAGCCAUGCCGCGUGUGUGAAGAAGGUCUUCGGAUUGUAAAGCACUUUAAGUUGGGAGGAAGGGCAGUAAAUUAAUACUUUGCUGUUUUGACGUUACCGACAGAAUAAGCACCGGCUAACUCUGUGCCAGCAGCCGCGGUAAUACAGAGGGUGCAAGCGUUAAUCGGAAUUACUGGGCGUAAAGCGCGCGUAGGUGGUUCGUUAAGUUGGAUGUGAAAUCCCCGGGCUCAACCUGGGAACUGCAUUCAAAACUGACGAGCUAGAGUAUGGUAGAGGGUGGUGGAAUUUCCUGUGUAGCGGUGAAAUGCGUAGAUAUAGGAAGGAACACCAGUGGCGAAGGCGACCACCUGGACUGAUACUGACACUGAGGUGCGAAAGCGUGGGGAGCAAAC
rnacentral:rRNA from 1 species